UACGUAGGGUGCGAGCGUUGUCCGGAAUUAUUGGGCGUAAAGAGCUCGUAGGCGGUGUGUCACGUCGGCCGUGAAAAACCUGCAGCUUAACUGUGGGCGUGCGGUCGAUACGGGCAUCACUGGAGUUCGGCAGGGGGAGACUGGAAUUCCUGGUGUAGCGGUGAAAUGCGCAGAUAUCAGGAGGAACACCAGUGGCGAAGGCGGGCAUCUGGGCCAACACUGACGCUGAGGCGCGAAAGCUAGGGGGAGCAAACAGG
rnacentral:rRNA from 1 species